rnacentral:lncRNA from 1 species
UUUAUUUUUUAGAGAAAAAUUAAGAAAAAUUUCAAGAAAAAGACCAUCUAGAUAAUAAUGCAGUACCAUCUUAAAAAAUUACACGGGUGAAAUAUUAUCCAGACAAGAAAACAAAAACAUUUACAGGGAUUAACAGACUAUUUAGACAAUAUCACAAUACCAUCCAGAAACAAUUACAGGGAUUAAAAGACUAUCUAGACAUUAUUACAGUAUCAUCCAGAAACAAUUGAACAAAAACUAUUUAGACAAUAAAACAGUACCAUCCAGACACAAUAGACUAUCAAGACAAUAAUACAGUACAAUCAAGAAACCAUAACAAGGAUAAAAGACUAUCUCGACAAUAAUACAGAAUCAUCCAGAAAACAACAAGGAUGAACGACUGUCUAGACAAUGAAACAGAAACCAGAAACAAAAUACAAGGUAAAAGAUAGAAUAUCGGAAAGCACCAGUGACCAUUUAACAUCUCUACAAAGUUUAAGACAAUGUGUCACAGUAAAAGUGAAUCCUUGCAUUUUUAUAAAUAUUUAUGCCUGAAGAUCGGAUCAGAGGAAAUUAUAAGAGCUAGACGACUACUGUAUUUAUGUAGAGACUUGAGAACAAAUAAAUUAGGUCCUCAAAUAACCAGUGGAAGUAAGGCAGAAGGACUACAUCUUAAAGGUAGUGAUCUUGAUUUGAUGUUCCUUAAUCCUAACUUUGUAGUUUAUGAAUCAGAAAAAGAUUAUGUCCAGAAUGAUAGGAGGAUUGUAUUAAUAAUGGAUACUGAAGACACACCGCCGUGUUUUACACAUCUACGGCUACGUGCCAAUUGUAAAUGUUCAUGUCUUUGUUUAACUCAACUUCUACAAAAACACAGAGGAGAGAAACUUUUUUCAAGUGAGCUUUGCAAAUCACACGCACUAAAUAUGUUGACCGGUUUUAUGGAUCCAAGACUAAAUACAAUUCAUGGUCCUUGCAUAUCAGACUGUGAUGGUCAAUUAGAUGUUGCACACUGUAUAAAAUGUGAUCAGUGGGUAUCCCAAUCUCAACCUUGGAUCUAUAGACCGCGUUCAAUAUGGCUUCACCUGAACUUAUUUCUAAAAUAACUUCAUGCGGAGUUCUGUUUGUUCCAAUUGGAUACACAGGGUCUAUAAAUGAGAAUCUUCAGUGGCGCAUAUCAUUUUCUGUAGCAGAAAAAAUACUGAUACAUUCCUUCAGUCAUACCCAAUUACUAUGCUAUGCUUUGCUGAAGAUUUUAUUGAAAGAAACAGUAGAAAGAAACCAUGAUUUAAAAGGUUUAUUGUGUUCAUACUUUUUAAAGACCCUUAUGGUUGGAUUUCGGAGGAAAUUGAAACAUCAUUCUGGAGACCAGACAAUAUCAUACCAUGUUUUAUGGCUUGCCUUCAAAGAUUGAUAUACUGUAUAGAUUAUUCAACAUUGUUACAUUAUUUCAUUCCUGAAAAUAAUUUGCUCUAUUUAAGAUUUAACAGAAAAAACAGGAACACAUUAAUCAACAUCCUCAAAAAUUGUUAUCAAACAGGAAUUCAGAUGUUUUCAUCAUCGGAGACUUUGCAUGAUUACAUAAGAUUUCCGUGUGAAAUAAUAAGAUCCGUUUGUGAAAAUACUACAUUAGUUAAAAUAAUAUUAGAAUACGAGUUUCACCGAAAUGAGCCACCAAUCAUAAAUAUCGUAGCCAUGCACACUUUGCUGCGUCAUUGUAAAACAGAAUUAUCUAGAUGUUUAUUAGCAUGGUCAAUUGCAAUUGCAUAUCAAAGAAUACCUCUAACACUACCACAUAUAAAUAACCCAAACAAUAAACAACAAUACAGAUUCUACAAACAUGCCCUCAGCCAGUUGUUGGUUGGCUUACAUUCAGAUGUAAUAUCAGGUUGGCUGAAAUUGGCCUCUUUCUUCUAUGUUCACAAAAAAUAUUUAACAUCAAUAGAUAUAAUAAAUCACACGUUGUCUAAAUGUACAGAUAAAUCAUCAGUUCCGAAUAUUAAAUUGAAGCGGACACAGAACCUGAAGCUUAUAUCACAGGUGACGUCCUUAACGAUUCCAUUUGUCACAUUUGAAAAACAAUCAUUGAACUGGAGUUUGAUGUCAGGGAUAUGGCUAUUUUCUUUAAAUUCAUACCAUGUGCAUAUUUCCUUCGUUUUCUGUGUUGUUACCAUCUCCAGGACUUGAGAUCAUGUUGUUUUUCUAGAACUCAGCUAUUUACGACAAUUCUUGGGGACUAUUUUUCAAAUGGAGAAACACACAAUGACACUACCGUACUUAUUUCAGUUGGAAUAGCUUGUCAGAUGUUAGGUGAGACUGAUAAAGCUAAAAAGUAUUUUCGAUUUGCUGCAGAGAGAGAUGAGUAUAACAUAACAAGUGCUGCGUUCAGAUUGCGUCAACUCUGAUGAGGCCUACCUUAUGACGAAAACACAAUUAUUGAUAACAAUAGUUACCAUAUAUAGAUUUAAGAUUUUUUUUAUUAAAUCACCAUGCAAUAUCUAAUCUUGUUAUCAUUGAAUAAUCAUGUACAUUGUUGUGCACUUUUAUUGUCAAUAAAUCAUUUAACUUCAC